UAUGGGGAAAACGGCCAACUCCUCCUAAACUUAGUUGUUUUAUUGUAUUCAUAUAUAAAACUUUGUUGUGUCUAUAACUACAUAAACUCAUGUUAAAUUUGAAUUUCAUACACGAACAAAACAAAUCCGGCCUAAACCCACAAAUCGUCAAACGUCGUUAAUGUUCCGUUAACAGAAAGCUGACUAGGAUGCCACAUGUACGAUAACACAAACCGACGUCGUGCUUUUUAAAAAAAAAAGAAAAAAAGAGGUAAAUCCCUAAAACCAUGACUCGAACCGCUGAUCUUAAAGCCGAAAACUGCACACUCAAUACCGUUUGAGCCACUGCAACUUCUGGUAUAAAACCAAACACUUAUCAUAACGGUCUCUGUUUCUUUAUUCCUCUUGCAAGCAGUAAUCGUAUGGGAAGAGGUAGAAAAUCAACGAGAGGUUAUCAUCCCUCCAUUCAUCUCACACUCUUCAAUUGAUAGCCCUGCGAUUGUCUUCCUAAUCUCCAAUUUCUUGACUUUUUUGUCGAAAUCUCUGUAAUUUGAUGACAAAUCUUCAAUUCCACCAAAAUAGCUUCGGGUUUCCAGAAACGGAGGUCAUUUCGGAACAGACAACGUCAUCACGACGAAGACCGGGGGAAGGAUCCACAUGACGACGACGAUGGUGAGAGGGGAUUGGAGAGCGUUUAUGCCUUUAUGGUAAAUGAGAGAGAGAAGAAAGAGAGAGAUGAGUGAGAGAACAAUUUGAGAAACUGAGUUGAGGUGGAGAAGAAGGUAAGACAAAGAGAAGCAAUUGAUAGAAAAGAAGGGAUAAUGGAGAAUUGGUUUUGUUCUUCUGCAGAUUUGGUUUGGGAAAGAGACACGAAGGAAGAAAAAGACAAUCGUUAUAGAUAAAAAGAUGUUUGUUUGAUAAUAUAACAAUUGUCACAGGUUCAAGUCCA
rnacentral:lncRNA from 1 species